rnacentral:rRNA from 1 species
CGCCGGUUUUGCUGAAACCUGAUAGUAUCUGGAGGCUUCGGCCGAAGGAAUAGUGAAUGUAAGCAGACUUCCAAGAAAACCCUCUAAGCAUAUUGAUAUGGUACCCGUACCGGAAACCGACACAGGUAGUCAAGGAGAAUAUCCUGAGGUGCUCGAGUGAUCCAUGGCUAAGGAACUAGGCAAAUUAACCCUGUAACUUCGGGAAAAGGGGUGCCUCGCUGUAGCAAUACAGCAGGUCGCAGAGAAAUGGCCCAGGCGACUGUUUAACAAAAACACAUGGCUAUGCGAAAUCGAAAGAUUAUGUAUAUGGCCUGACACCUGCCCGGUGCUGGAAGGUUAAGGGGGGAUGUUAGCCGCAAGGCGACGCAUUGAACUGGAGCCCCAGUAAACGGCGGCCGUAACUAUAACGGUCCUAAGGUAGCGAAAUUCCUUGUCGGGUAAGUUCCGACCUGCACGAUGGUGUAACGAUCUGGGCACUGUCUCAGCCAUGAGCUCGGUGAAAUUGCAGUCACGGUGAAGAUGCCGUGUACCCGUCACGGGACGGAAAGACCCCAUGCACCUUUACUAUAGCUUCGCAUUGGCAUUGGGUAGAUGAUGUGUAGGAUAGGUGGGAGGCUUUGAUCCUGUGCCGCUAGGUAUAGGGGAGCCAACGGUGAAAUACCACCCUUUAUUUAUCUGAUGUCUAAUCCGCCAAAAGUGGAGACAGUGCGUGGUGGGUAUUUUGACUGGGGUGGUCGCCUCCGAAAGUGUAUCGGAGGCUUUCAAAGGUAUGUUCAGUACGCUUGGUAACCGUACGUGGAGUGCAAUAGCAUAAACAUGCUUGACUGUGAGAUCGACGGAUCGAGCAGGAUCGAAAGAUGGAUAUAGUGAUCCGGUGGUUCUGUAUGGAAGGGCCAUCGCUCAAAGGAUAAAAGGUACGCUGGGAUAACAGGCUGAUCUCCCCCAAGAGCUCACAUCGACGGGGAGGUUUGGCACCUCGAUGUCGGCUCGUCACAUCCUGGGGCUGGAGAAGGUCCCAAGGGUUAGGCUGUUCGCCUAUUAAAGUGGCACGCGAGCUGGGUUCAGAACGUCGUGAGACAGUUCGGUCCCUAUCUGUGAUGGGCGUAGGAAGCUUGAGAGGUCCUGAUUUUAGUACGAGAGGACCGAAUUGGACCGACCGCUGGUGUACCGGUUGUGGCGUCAGCUGCAUCGCCGGGUAGCUAUGUCGGGAAGAGAUAAGCGCUGAAAGCAUCUAAGCGCGAAACUCACCUCAAGAUGAGGCUUCCAUUAAGGGACGUCAGAGAUUAUGACGUUGAUAGGCUGCAGGUGUAAAGGCAGAAAUGUCAAAGCUGAGCAGUACUAAUAACCC